CAAACAUCGCCUCUUGCCAAACAACACGUAUAAGAGGUCCAGCCUGCCCAGUGACUAUAUGUUCAACGGCCGCGGUAUUCUGACCGUGCAAAGGUAGCGUAAUCACUUGUCUUUUAAAUAAAGACUGGUAUGAAUGGCACCACGAAGGUUCAACUGUCUCCUGCAUCCAAUCCAUCAAACUGACCUCCCCGUGCAGAGGCGGGGAUAUACCCAUAAGACGAGAAGACCCUAUGGAGCUUUAAACUUACGGCAACUGCUAAACAAUCCAACCCCACGCGGGAAAACAGACAAUUAAGCAACAAUGACCUAAAGUUUUCGGUUGGGGCGACCACGGAGAAAAAAAAAUCCUCCUUGAUGUACGGGGCCUUACCCUCUUAACCAAGAACGACAGUUCUAAGUAACAAAACAUUUGACCACUAUUGAUCCAGUCCAACUGAUCAACGAACCAAGUUACCCUAGGGAUAACAGCGCAAUCCAUUUCGAAAGUUCCUAUCGACAAAUGGGUUUACGACCUCGAUGUUGGAUCAGGGCAUCCCAGUGGUGCAGCCGCUACUAAAGGUUCGUUUGUUCAACGAUUAAAGCCCUACUGACUGG
rnacentral:rRNA from 1 species